AGGGCGGCGGCCGGAGCCCCGCGCCCGGCGGAGCGGAGCGGAGCAGAGCGGAGCGAGGGCCGGCACCCCGCGGCGGCGGCGGGGAGCGCCCGCCCGCCCGGCCGGCACCACAGCGCCCCCAGCCCCCGCCGCUCCGCGCCUGCACCGCCAGCCCGCCCGGCGCCCCCACACAAAGUCCCAGCACUCGAUGAAAGAGGCUGGAGUUCCUGUCUUCACCCUUUCUCCGCUGCCUCCCUGUUCUACCAGUCUGUUCUGUGUCCAGGCAACUGCAAAAAGACAUUUCAAAGGCUCCUGCCGUGCCAUGUAGAUGUUUUCUCUUGUUAGUUUGGACUGCAGGAUCAAGUCCCUCGUUUGCCAUUUUGUGUGGCAGCAAGCCCAAGGAAAUCUUGCUUGACAGCUCUGUUUUCUCAAAGUGCUGCAUUUCUUCGGGCUGGAUUCUGUAAAGAUCCUGCAGGCUACAGAGCUCCUUGGAGCAAGCGAUAAUGUGCUUUGUGUUCCUGCUGAAAUGUACCUGUGUACCAUGGGAGAGGGAGCUUGGAAAACUGGGUGCACCCUGGCAAGGAGAUGGUUGGAAUAAAGUUUUCUUGUGUUAUAAUGUUUUGAGGAAUCAUUCUCAUCUGUUCAUUUGAGGAAGGUUUUUCUAAAGUUAGAUUUGAUCUGUGUAAAUGCUAACUUCUUUCAACAGGCACUAAUAGAGUACUGGAAAAGGAAGCACAGUGAAUUUGAAGUUUAAAUCUCAAAUGAUGGCAGCAACCAGCAAUACAUCCAAAAUAUUUGUAAGCAUGUUGUACAGAUUUCUUUUUAAGAAUUGGAUGAAAAUCACAUUAAAAUCUGUUA